rnacentral:rRNA from 1 species
CGGUUGAUCCUGCCGGACCUGACUGCUAUCGGAUUGAUACUAAGCCAUGCGAGUCAUUGUAGCAAUACAAGGCAGACGGCUCAGUAACGCGUAGUCAACCUAACCUACGGACGGGAAUAACCUCGGGAAACUGAGAAUAAUGCCCGAUAGAACACUAUAUCUGGAAUGGUUUGUGUUCCAAAUGAUUUAUCGCCGUAGGAUGGGACUGCGGCCUAUCAGUUUGUUGGUGAGGUAAUGGCCCACCAAGACUAUUACAGGUACGGGCUCUGAGAGGAGUAGCCCGGAGAUGGGUACUGAGACACGGACCCAGGCCCUAUGGGGCGCAGCAGGCGAGAAAACUUUGCAAUGUGCGAAAGCACGACAAGGUUAAUCCGAGUGAUUUCUGCUAAAGAAAUCUUUUGCCAGUCGUAAAACCGCUGGUGAAUAAGGGGUGGGCAAGUUCUGGUGUCAGCCGCCGCGGUAAAACCAGCACCUCAAGUGGUCAGGAUGAUUAUUGGGCCUAAAGCAUCCGUAGCCUGCUUUGUAAGUUUUCGGUUAAAUCCAUGUGCUCAACGCAUGGGCUGCCGAAAAUACUGCAUAGCUAGGGAGUGGGAGAGGUAGACGGUACUCAGUAGGUAGGGGUAAAAUCCUUUGAUCUAUUGAUGACCACCUGUGGCGAAGGCGGUCUACCAGAACACGUUCGACGGUGAGGGAUGAAAGCUGGGGGAGCAAACCGGAUUAGAUACCCGGGUAGUCCCAGCUGUAAACGAUGCAGACUCGAUGAUGCAUUGGCAUAAUAGCCAUUGCAGUGUCGCAGGGAAGCCGUUAAGUCUGCCGCCUGGGAAGUACGUACGCAAGUAUGAAACUUAAAGGAAUUGGCGGGGGAGCACCACAAGGGG